rnacentral:sRNA from 2 species
UUAUUACUUUCCGUCAUACCAAAUGACUUUCGUCUACGAACAUACUUCCACAUCCAUUCGCCCACCAUGGUCUGUGCGAUCGCAUCAACGACACUAGUCUGCUGUACGCUUGUGUUGGUAUUGACUGACUCGUUUCUCCGGUGAGACCUGGCAGGGGGCGGGACUUGUCGAUUUGAAUGCAGUUUACCAGAUCGCUUUCGCCGGGGGGCUGUUAUUUCGUCAACAGGCAUGGGUGGGAGGUGUGGGCUUUCGGGGCAGGUUGAUGAUGUCGACAUUGUUGGUGGAGAAUGGCUUUGCUGCCGAUCGGGACGAUGCAUCCCAGCCACCACAGCGGCCGAGCGAACUUUGCGAAGUGGAGGCUCUCUUAAUAGAAAGCCCCGCUCCGGGAAAUUUCCGUUGCUGUACGGCGUCGGACUCUGAGCGCCCUCGCUCGCACUGACAGGGAUUUUGCGCGAGCUCAAUCUCACCGGAACGGGGAAAGGAGGUUUGGCUGCGGUGCUGGUCGAGGCAGCGCUGCUGCCGAUGCUAGGUGCACUGGGGCUGCGAGGCCUGUACGCCUGGUGUGCGGCAGUAGAGCUGGAAAUCAUGGCAGUGCGGCGAAUAUCGGGUUGCUUCGCGACAUUGCCUAAUUUCAAAGGUCUGGGCGGUCGUUUAGCAGAUGGCAAUUUCCCACCGGGCACAACACGGGGCUGAGGGCCAUUGGGAGCUUUUGUUUCAACUAUUGAUUUCGGCGAAUGUGGUUCAUCCACUUCUUCUGGGUGUUCCUCACGCUCCGCGAGAGGGUUGUCGUCCAGUAUUGAGGGCGCCGGCUUUGUAACGAGCUUGCCAGCUCUCAGUGUAUAAGAUGCGAGGGGUCGAUUGAAGAGCUCGUCAUCGCUAAACAGAUCCUCCUGUGGCUCUGGCCAUUCGUCAUCACUAACAUGUUCAAAGCCAGCAAAUAAACUGCUGGUCCUGAACGGCCGUCGAAGUUCCAAUUUCGUAUCCUCAGAAAGGGGACCAUUGUCAUUAUUUCCUGGAUAUGCUUGCAACUUUUCGGGUUCUUUAUCUUUUGAGGAAGGCCGUGUGAGCGGCGCAGGCUCAACUGAGGGAGGGUUUCGAAGUCUCCUUUUUGCAGAUUUCGGGGGCACGUGAAAUUGUUGGAUGGGUGGUGGUGAAGGUAGAUCAAUGGAUUCUGGACUCAUUGGCUGGUCCAUAAUCGCGGAUGGGAGGAGUUUUGAGGGUAGCUUGGCACUACGUUUAUCAACGCGAAUCUCUUCUGUUUGCAUGCCACAUGACCGGACGUCGGCGAGUGGUUCGAUAUAUGUCUGGCAUGAUACACUCUUGGUUUGUGGGGGCAAUACAACGCUGUUCCUGGCGGAUGGGGGGUUUGAGCCGGGGGGUUCGAUAGUGAUCAUGGGGAUUGGCAUUGCCUGUCGGAUUAUUUGUUCUAGGUUUCGGGUUUCUCUGUCCUUGAUAAUUACAUCAUCGGUUUGAGUUGAGAUGGAAACCGUUGCUACCACUGGAAUUUCAGUCACGGGAGCCGGAGAAGCUAUGGGUGUGGACUCCUCUGAUGGAGUUUCUUCAACUGUUGGGGUUGAAGGAGGGCUUGGAGGCUCUCCGGUUGUCUGGCAUGCAGAAGAGGUGGUGAGGACAGGCGCAGUGACGGUGCUACUGUCCUUCGAUUCGUAUACAGGCAUUGAUUCUGUACUGGAAGACAUUUGACUUUUCUCUUGAUUUUCAUUGCUCGCGCCAUUCACCGGAGGAGCCUCAUCGACAACGACUUGAUCGGGUUCCAGUACAACCUUAGGGGAUGGAGGUGGAGUAUAUUGGAUUCCGAUGUCUCUAUAUUCCAAUUGUGGUACAGCGGUGGCCCUCUUUUCAUUUUGUUCGACAUCCGGAAUCACAUUCAGAUUUUUUGGAUGAUCAAGCACAUCGGGAGUGCCGAACCUUUCAUGCCCGUCAAGUGGCAUAUCGAACGUACGCCGGGCCAUCCUGCUGCUCAUCCGUCGCGAUUGCAUUGAUAUGGGCCUUUCGUGGUCAGGAACCGUGCAUCUCGAAUCAGGUCGGUCAUCUAGACCCAACGUGUCUUCCUCUUCCUCGUCAAAUGCGAGUUCGUCUGCUAGGUUCAAGCCGUCCACCUUGUGUCCAUGACCAUUGGCAAAACUCAUGACGGAGUACCUUACAUUAUGCAGAUCGCCGUCAUGGGUACUUACGCUUGCAGUACUCGUACGUCGCCGUCCCAUGACACUGCCCGAACGGAUGCUGUAGGUGUCACUACCCUUUGCCGUCAUGCCAUCACGAACAGAAUCAUCAAAGUCUCCAUCAACACCACGAGGAAAUGAACCCGCUGCCUGAGCUGCUGCAACCUCGUUGAGAACAACUUUCAGACGUCCCUCGACGACAUGGACUUUCCGUUCCCAGUUCCUCCGCUCUUCCUCCCAAUUCUGCUUAUCCCGCUCCCACAGCCUUUGGGUCCGUUCAAUUUCUUCUUCCUGAGUACGCGCUCUUUUCUGUGACUGCUCAAGUCUUUUGCGGAAAUCCGCAAUGUUCUCUAAAGCAUCAUCACGCUCCUUGGACAAUUCUGUCAUAGCAGACAUGGAACCACCCUCAAGAAGCUGUAUCUGCUUUUUCAAUGAACGGUUCUCCUUGGAGCUCCUUGAGAGUGUCUCGCUCAAAGACUCCGCUUCCGACUUUGCCGUUUCCAGGGUCAUCUCAAGAGAAUCAAUUGCCUUCGCUUUCGCCUCCAUGUCGCGGCGCAGGGACAAGAUCUCGGAAACGAGGGAGGCAUGUAAGGUUGGGGUGAACCGUCGAGGAUCUAGGGGAGAUAUUGUCUCGUCAUUUGCGGGGUCAAUUGGGCUGACAGGGCCAUCGGAUUCGUACCGGUUGUCGGAGUUGAAGCGCGGAGGGGAGGAGGAGGGUCCUGGAGACGAAUCUCUGCGGUGGAGCGAUGGGCGGCGCGACAUUGGGUUUGAGGGGGUCCGGUAGGGCUUCUUGUCCUUACCCGUGGGUAGGGACGUUCCCAGUUCCAGUUACUGCUGUCAUACGUGCAUGACUAUAUGAAGAACUCGUUGCGAUAAACAAACGAAAAGACAACCGCCGCCAAUACGAGAUUGGGUGUGAUAGACGCCAGGAGGGGGAAAAAAUAAACAAACAAUUUGAUGCCCUCGUUGCCCAGGGUUUAGUGAGGGGGGUUGGGAUUGAAUGAGUGAGUUAAGGUUGGACAAUUUCGUAAUAUCAAGGAAGUGUUUCAGUUUGUUCUGUCCAAGGCUCAACGGUUGGCGGGGGAUUGAGGAAUCGAGGUAAGUUGGUAGUGGGUAGGUUAAUUCCCCGUCUCACUCAUAUAUUUGUUUUCGUAUUUAUUUAUAGCAUUUACACUUCAACGGUAAGUCAUGUGCAUAAAAUCAAUCUAUUCCGCAACAACGGCCAGAGCUGGUUGGUGGUGGUGAAGGGGGAAUUUAUCCUUUUAGAAAAGAAAUUCCAGGGGCGGAAAAAAGGAGAACGAACGAACGAACAAACUUCCGACAAAAUUCAAGGAGCCCGAUGUGGAGUGUUAUAUCUAUGCAGGUAGGAAAUUUGUCUCUAGAAAUUCUCGUGGAAGGAUUGUCAGGUAUGUCGUGUUGUAUCGUGCUCUGUUGUGUUGUUGUUCGCACGGGAAUAGAAUGCUCGUCUCUCAAGGUCUCUUCACUACCUGAAGCUAUACAUGACGUUAGCCGCUAGCCUGGCAAGGAAAUUUCACAGUAAAGGACCCACUGCACUGCAUUCAUCGAUGUAACUAUCGGAUGUCUCUAUGUAAGCAGGAGAAACUGGGUGGUGAAGGAGGAUCGGCCCGGCAAGGUAUGUGCUGAAUUGUAUAUAGGUCAAGGUCCAGCCAUUGAGGUAUGUAUAGACAAUGUCGAGUAUUUGAUCUAUUUAUCAAACAGAUAAACGUCAAUUGAGAAGUAGGAGUAGGAGUAAUGGUGGUGGUGGUGGUGCGUGGCCGCGAGGUGUAAAUCAGGCGUGUGGGAAGCUACAUCAGGAUGUGUCGUCGCGAAAGGGGCCGGGUGAGUGAGUAAACCGGAGGAUGCAGAAGCAUAAAUGACCUUCCUGUCUUCGUCAGGCCCUUCUAUUUCUCAUUUCCUCUCCAAGAACAGAAAACGAACGUGAGCAGUAGUGGUAGCUGCCGUUGUCGUGGAGGUAGCUGCGGAGUGGUGGUGGCAGAGGAAAAGGGACGAAAUGGAAGCUUUGUCAGGUGGAGGACGGUAGCUUCGUGGAGCACGGCUCGAUAGAUAGAUUGGGUGUUUGAGAUGUAGAUGGCGAAGGGGAAAAGAGAGAAGAAAGAGCGAGAAAAGGAGCAGCAGUUAGUGAAUCUCGCUGUCACCGUCAAAAAGAGAUAGAAGAGAUAGACGAGUGUGGUAUGUGGUAUUGUGUAUUCAGCCCGUCCGGGAGCGAGAGUUGCUCCCACGCCGCAAAGAACUCAGCGACGGACGGCGACGGUGACAUGCCAUGCCAUGGCUGUCGCGAGCGAGUGACGGCGGCAGCAGCAAGCCCUGGUGCAGGAUGAGAUCGGGCGUGCAUAAGGUGCACGACUAGCCUGGCUGGCCUGGCCUGGCCGGGGGCGGGAAUAGGGGCUGGAAGGGCUUGUUCUGUGUGUAUUUUUAUAUAUACUUUUAUCGUGUGCGGAGC